AAAACAAAGUAGAAGCCACCUGCUUCUCACCUGAAAGCCGUUUGAGGCUUUGGGUUAAUAUUGAAAAGCAACGUGUGUCUGCUUUUCAGCUACUUUUGGGAAAAAGCGGGUGGAAGCCCGCUUUUUAUUUUUAAC
rfam:Carboxydothermus hydrogenoformans Z-2901, complete genome.